UACGUAGGGGGCAAGCGUUGUCCGGAAUCAUUGGGCGUAAAGAGCGUGUAGGCGGCCAGAUAAGUCCGCUGUGAAAACUCGAGGCUCAACUUCGAGCUGUCGGCGGAAACUAUCUGGCUAGAGUCCGGAAGAGAAGAGUGGAAUUCCUGGUGUAGCGGUGAAAUGCGCAGAUAUCAGGAAGAACACCCGUGGCGAAGGCGGCUCUCUGGGACGGUACUGACGCUGAGACGCGAAAGCGUGGGGAGCGAACAGG
rnacentral:rRNA from 1 species